rnacentral:rRNA from 1 species
AUGCUUGCCUAUGGAAUUCCAAGCGAUCUGGUGGAUGAGUACGUGCGUAUGAGCAAGACAACAUGUCUGAUGUCAAUGUAUAAGUUCUGCCAAGCUGUGAUCGAGGUGUUUGGCCCAGAGUACUUGAGGCAGCCAACUGCCGCUGAUACAGAGAGAUUGUUGGCGACCAACGCAGCUAGAGGCUUCCCAGGCAUGCUUGGCAGCAUAUAUUGUAUGCACUGGGAGUGGAAGAACUGUCCAUUUGCUUGGCAGGGCCAGUACAAGGGGCAUGUCAGCGAGUGCACUAUCAUAUUAGAAGCGGUGGCAUCGCAGGAUCUCUGGAUAUGGCAUUCUUUCUUCGGUAUGAUAGGUUCUCACAAUGAUAUCAGCGUGUUACAACGUUCUCCAGUCUUCGCGAGGCUUGCAGAAGGCCUCUCCCCACCUGUCAACUUUGAGGUCAACGGCCACCAGUACAACAAAGGAUAUUAUCUAGCUGAUGGUAUAUAUCCUCAGUGGUCAACUUUUGUGAAGACAAUCUCGAAGCCUCAAGAUGAGAAGAGAAAGAGAUUUGCCCAAAUGCAAGAUAGUGCUAGAAAGGAUGUGGAACGUGCUUUUGGUGUGCUUCAAUCCCGAUGA